CCUACGGGUGGCAGCAGUGAGGAAUAUUGGUCAAUGGACGAGAGUCUGAACCAGCCAAGUAGCGUGAAGGAUGACUGCCCUAUGGGUUGUAAACUUCUUUUAUAAAGGAAUAAAGUGAGGCACGUGUGCCUUUUUGUAUGUACUUUAUGAAUAAGGAUCGGCUAACUCCGUGCCAGCAGCCGCGGUAAUACGGAGGAUCCGAGCGUUAUCCGGAUUUAUUGGGUUUAAAGGGAGCGUAGAUGGGUUGUUAAGUCAGUUGUGAAAGUUUGCGGCUCAACCGUAAAAUUGCAAUUGAUACUGGCAGUCGUGAGUACAGUAGAGGUAGGCGGAAUUCGUGGUGUAGCGGUGAAAGGCAUAGAUAUCACGCAGAACUCCGAUUGCGAAGGCAGCAUACCGGCGCCCAACUGACGCUGAAGCACGAAAGCGUGGGUAGCAAACAGGAUUAGAUACCCCUGUAGUC
rnacentral:rRNA from 1 species